GUUUCUCACCCAAAAUCCCCAUUUCUCACCCCAAAUCCCCAUUUCUCACCCCAAAUCCCGUUCCUGACCCCAAAAUCCCCAUUUCUCACCCCAAAUCCCCGUUCCUGACCCCAAAAUGCCCGUUUAUCACCCCAAAUCCCAUCCCUGACCCCAAAAUCCCCAUUUCUCACCCAAAAUCCCCAUCCCUGACCCCAAAUCCCCAUUUCUGACCCCAAAUCCCCAUUUCUGACCCCAAAUCCCCUUUUUUUUACCCCAAAUCCCCAUUUCUCACCCCAAACCCCCAUUUCUCACCCCAAAAUCCCCAUUUCUCACCCCAAACCCCCAUUUCUGACCCCAAAUCCCCUUUUUUUUACCCCAAAUCCCCAUUUCUCACCCCAAACCCCCAUUUCUCACCCCAAAAUCCCCAUUUCUGACCCCAACCCCCCCCGUUCCUGCCCCCAAAUCCCUGUUUUUUACCCCAAACCCCCAUUUCUGACCCCAAAUCCCCAUUUUUGACCCCAAAUCCCCAUUUCUCACCCCAAAUCCCCAUUUCUGACCCCAAAUCCCCGUUUUUUACCCCAAAUCCCCCCAGACCCCCCUCCUCACCCCCUCCCCGCUCUGGGGGUGCCGCUGCUCCUCCUCCUCCUCCUCCUCCUCUCGGGGGGUCCCCUCAGGUUUGGGGGGGCCCCCCCCAGGCCUCGGGGGGGUUCCGGCCCCGCGUGGUGGGGGUGGGGGCGGCCGCGGGUGGAGCCCCCAGACCCACCGGACCCCCCCCCCCCCGCGGCCGCGCCCCCCGUAACCCCCACGGAAGCCGCGGCCGCGGGCGAAGAACUCCCCCCCCCGGGGGCGCCCCCCCCGCGGGACCCCCGCCCCACCCCCACCCCCACCCCCGUGGGGGGGGUCCCCAUCCCGCCGCCGCCCCCCACGCGGGGACCCCCCCCCACCGACCCCUCCCGGGGGAGCGCCGGGGUCUUUGUGGUGGGGGGGGGCGGGUUUGGUUUUGGGGGGUUUCGGGGGGUCUUUGGUGGGUGGGGGAGGGGCGGGGGUCUCCUCGUUGGCCCCUCCCCCCACCUCGUCUUUUUGGGGGGGUUUCUUGAUGGGCCCCGCCCGCCGCUGGGGGGGGGGCGCCCCCUUUUCGGGGGGCUCCUCGUGGUGGGGGUGGGGGGCGCCGCGGCGGGGGGGGGGGCGCCCCCCCGGGCCGGGGUCCCCAGCGGGUCUCGGUGCGCGACCCCCCCCCACCCCCACCCCCACCGCGGGGGGGUUUGUGGGGGUCGUGGGGGGCGCGGGGGGGGCGCCGUGAGCCCCCCCCCACAACCUCCUCUUUGGGGGGACCCCCCAGCGCUGUCCCGGCGCCCCCCCCCUCCUCCUUGGGGGGUUUUUGGGGAGGGGGCGGCUUUUUGGGGGGGUCCUUGAAGGAGGAGGGGGAGGGGGAGGGGGCGGCGGCGCCCGGGGGGGGCGGCGGUUCUGGGGGGGGGUCCCGUCGGGGCCGUUUUGGGGUUCGGGGGGGCGCGGGGGGGGCGGCGCGGCCGGGGGGAGGGUCCAGGGGCGGGGGGGGGUUUUUGGGGAGGGGUCUUCGGUGGGGGGGGGUGGGAAACGGGGUAAAGGGGGGCCCCCCCCGUUCUCGAAGGGGGGGUAGGAGUAAGGGGGGGGCGCGCCGGGGUCCCGCAGGCGGAUGGGGGGGGUCUCACUCCUGGGGGGGGGAGGGGAAAAAAAAAUGGGGUUAAAAAGGAAGAAAAACCCAAAAAGGUGAAAAUUCCCCCCAAAAUCCCCCUCCCCACUCACCGCAGCCCCUUCUCGUCGUCGCCGGGGGGGGGGUCGCAGGGCGGGGGGCAGCCCCCGGGGUUCGGGGGGGGUCGUGAAGGCAUCGCCCCCCCCCCAGGAGGGUUUGGGGUCCCCCGGGGGGGUCCCGCGGUCCCGCGGGGGGGGGCCCGGGGGGGGCUCCGAGGCGGAGCCGCCGCUGUCGGAGCGUUCCCGGGGCAGCAGGCCUGGGGGGGCACGGGGUGAGACCCCUCCCCAAAUAGGGGUUAUGGGGGGGAGAGCCCCCCAAACAUAGAACAUAAACCUCCCCCACCACCAAAAUAUCCCCUCUGGGGGUGAGACCCCCACCCAAAUAGCGGUUCUGGGGGGGAGACCCCCCCCAAACAUAGAACAUAACCCCCCCCACCCAAAAUAUCCCCUCUGGGGGUGAGACCUCCCAGAACCCCCCCAGGGCCCCCCCAAGCCCCCCAGAAUUACCCCCAAACCCCACCCAGGACCCCAAAACCACCCCAGGACCCCCCAAACCCCCCCAAACCCCCCCAGGACCCCCCAAAACCCCUCCCAAGCCCCACAAACCCCCCCAAACCCCCCCAAGCCCCCCAAACCCCUCCCAAGCCCCCCAGGACCCCUUUAAAGCCCCCCAGGACCCCCCCAAAGCCCCCAGGACCCCCC
ensembl:lncRNA